UGAGUACGGCGGAACACGUGAAAUUCCGUCGGAAUCCGGGAGGACCAUCUCCCAAGGCUAAAUACUCCCUAGUGACCGAUAGUGAACCAGUACCGUGAGGGAAAGGUGAAAAGCACCCCGGAAGGGGAGUGAAACAGUUCCUGAAACCGUGUGCCUACAAGUAGUUAGAGCCCGUUAAUGGGUGAUAGCGUGCCUUUUGUAGAAUGAACCGGCGAGUUACGAUUUGUUGCAAGGUUAAGCGGAAAAAGCGGAGCCGUAGCGAAAGCGAGUCUGAAUAGGGCGCAUAAGUAACAGGUCGUAGACCCGAAACCAGGUGAUCUACCCAUGUCCAGGAUGAAGGUAAGGUAAUACUUACUGGAGGUCCGAACCCACGCACGUUGAAAAGUGCGGGGAUGAGGUGUGGGUAGCGGAGAAAUUCCAAUCGAACUUGGAGAUAGCUGGUUCUCUCCGAAAUAGCUUUAGGGCUAGCCUCGAGGUAAAGAGUCAUGGAGGUAGAGCACUGUUUGGACUAGGGGCCCUUCUCGGGUUACCGAAUUCAGAUAAACUCCGAAUGCCAUGUACUUAUACUCGGGAGUCAGACUGCGAGUGAUAAGAUCCGUAGUCGAAAGGGAAACAGCCCAGACCACCAGUUAAGGUCCCCAAAUAUAUGUUAAGUGGAAAAGGAUGUGGGGUUGCUUAGACAACCAGGAUGUUGGCUUAGAAGCAGCCACCAUUGAAAGAGUGCGUAAUAGCUCACUGGUCGAGUGACCCCGCGCCGAAAAUGUACCGGGGCUAAACAUAUUACCGAAACUGUGGAUGAACCUCUUUAGAGGUUCGUGGUAGGAGAGCGUUCUAAGGGCGGUGAAGUCAGACCGGAAGGACUGGUGGAGCGCUUAGAAGUGAGAAUGCCGGUAUGAGUAGCGAAAGAAGGGUGAGAAUCCCUUCCACCGAAUAUCUAAGGUUUCCUGAGGAAGGCUCGUCCGCUCAGGGUUAGUCGGGACCUAAGCCGAGGCCGAUAGGCGUAGGCGAUGGACAACAGGUAGAGAUUCCUGUACCAGUGCUAAUUGUUUAACCGAUGGGGUGACACAGAAGGAUAGGGAAUCGCACGAAUGGAAAUGUGCGUCCAAGCAGUGAGUGUGAG
rnacentral:rRNA from 1 species